UACUAUUGUUUCCAUUUGUAAUGAAGAAAUCAAAGCUGAAGAGGUUAAGUGACUUACUCAAGAUAACAUGGCAGAAAAGUUUAUAUCAGUCCAAUUCUGCUGCUAACUGGACUUCGUCUCUGGCUUCUUCAUUUGGAAAUCUACCUCUUAUGCUAAGUGCCCUUAUAUCACCUGGCGGUUUGCAAAGAGAUUAUUUCUUCAUUACAAGCAGAGUAAAAGGCCUCCUCAAUGCUAAGAGGUGCACUUUCUACUACAACCAAGUGAUCAAAUUUUGCAUCACUCAUAAUGAGACCAACUGAAAUAAUACACCUCUGGAUGACAAAAGAAAGCAUAGAAUAUUACUCAUGUCCUUUUCUUGCCAUAAUGUUUAAUCUUAAUCUAAUCCUGAGGAAACAAUCACAAAGUUCCAACUGGGAACCCUUCUCCAUGGCCUGGGAUCUUCAAGAACGUCAACGUGAUAAAAGUAAAAAAUGUGAGGAAAAUGUUCUAAUUAAAAGAAGCGAGAGAUUGCAUAGUAAACACAAUGUUGGUUUGAUAUUUUAAAACUCAG
rnacentral:lncRNA from 1 species